GAAAUCUCAUCAAGUUGCUGCAUUCUUUGCGACGGCUUGGACAGUGUCAGGGAAGCUGUGAUCAUUGUACCGCAGCUCCUUGGAAAUCUAUGGAUGCUUACACCAUUACGUGUGGAACGUGAUAGAAAAUUCUUCGUUCUGGCGUCAUUGGUUUGAGCUAUCCGAAAACCCACAUGCCACUUGGCAUAUAUUCUUUUG
rnacentral:misc_RNA from 1 species